GGUGAACGCUGGCGGCGUGCUUAAGACAUGCAAGUCGAACGAACGUAUUCGGACGGUGGUGGCGCACGGGUGGGUAAGGAGUAACGGGCCACCCGCGAAGAACCGAAUAACAAUCCGAAAGGAAGGCUAAUACGGGAGGUGCUGUACCCUCCAGUGUGGCCAAUAACGGGUUGACCGCGUGGGGGUGGGGUUGCGUUCCAUCAGCUAGUGGGUAGGGUAAAGGCCUACCAUGGCGACGAUGAAUAACCGGCCUGCGAGGGUGGCCGGUAACCGGGGCACUGAGACCUGGGUCAGGCUCCUACGGGAGGCAGCCGUUAGGAAUCUUCCCCAAUGGACGAAAGUCUGACGUAGCGACGCCGCGUGAGGGAUGAAGGUUUUCGGAUCGUAAACCUCGGAAUCAGGGACGAAAGACGCGGAAGCGGGAGGACGUUCCCUGAGUAAUAGCCCCGGCUAACUCCGUG
rnacentral:rRNA from 1 species